UAUCGGUGAUCUGACAGUGUCUCCGCC
rnacentral:sRNA from 1 species